rnacentral:rRNA from 1 species
GACGAACGCUGGCGGCGUGCCUAAUACAUGCAAGUCGAACGCACUGACGUCGACCGAAGCUGCUUGCAGUGGACGUUGAUUGACGUGAGUGGCGGACGGGUGAGUAACACGUGGGUAACCUACCCUUAAGUGUGGGAUAACAUUUGGAAACAGAUGCUAAUACCGCAUAACCAUUCAGACCACAUGGUCUGAAUGUAAAAGACGGCCUUUGGCUGCCACUUUUGGACGGACCCGCGGCGUAUUAGUUAGUUGGUAAGGUAACGGCUUACCAAGACAAUGAUACGUAGCCGACCUGAGAGGGUAAUCGGCCACAUUGGGACUGAGACACGGCCCAAACUCCUACGGGAGGCAGCAGUAGGGAAUCUUCCACAAUGGACGAAAGUCUGAUGGAGCAACGCCGCGUGAGUGAAGAAGGUUUUAGGAUCGUAAAACUCUGUUGUUGGAGAAGAACAGGGACUAGAGUAACUGUUAGUCCUUUGACGGUAUCCAACCAGAAAGCCACGGCUAACUACGUGCCAGCAGCCGCGGUAAUACGUAGGUGGCAAGCGUUGUCCGGAUUUAUUGGGCGUAAAGCGAGCGCAGGCGGUUUUUUAAGUCUGAUGUGAAAGCCUUCGGCUUAACCGAAGAAGUGCAUUAGAAACUGGGAAACUUGAGUGCAGAAGAGGACAGUGGAACUCCAUGUGUAGCGGUGAAAUGCGUAGAUAUAUGGAAGAACACCAGUGGCGAAGGCGGCUGUCUGGUCUGUAACUGACGCUGAGGCUCGAAAGUAUGGGGAGCGAACAGGAUUAGAUACCCUGGUAGUCCAUACCGUAAACGAGUGAAUGCUAAGUGUUGGAGGGUUUCCGCCCUUCAGUGCUGCAGCUAACGCAUUAAGCAUUCCGCCUGGGGAGUACGACCGCAAGGUUGAAACUCAAAGGAAUUGACGGGGGCCCGCACAAGCGGUGGAGCAUGUGGUUUAAUUCGAAGCAACGCGAAGAACCUUACCAGGUCUUGACAUCCUUUGACCACUGUAGAGAUACAGCUUUCCCUUCGGGGACAAAGUGACAGGUGGUGCAUGGUUGUCGUCAGCUCGUGUCGUGAGAUGUUGGGUUAAGUCCCGCAACGAGCGCAACCCUUAUGACUAGUUGCCAGCAUUUAGUUGGGCACUCUAGUAAGACUGCCGGUGACAAACCGGAGGAAGGUGGGGAUGACGUCAAAUCAGCAUGCCCCUUAUGACCUGGGCUACACACGUGCUACAAUGGUCGGUACAACGAGUUGCGAACCCGCGAGGGUAAGCUAAUCUCUUAAAGCCGAUCUCAGUUCGGAUUGUAGGCUGCAACUCGCCUACAUGAAGCCGGAAUCGCUAGUAAUCGCGGAUCAGCACGCCGCGGUGAAUACGUUCCCGGGCCUUGUACGCACCGCCCGUCACACCAUGAGAGUUUGUAACACCCGAAGUCGGUGGGGUAACCCUUUUAGGGAACUAGCCGCCUAAGGUGGGACAGAUGAUUGGGGUG